ensembl:lncRNA
GAGAGAAUGAGAGAGGGAGGUCAGACAGAAGUGAGAGAAUGAGAGAGGGAGGUCAGACAGAAGUGAGAGAAUGAGAGAGGGAAGUCAGAGAGAAGUGAGAGAAUGAGAGAGGGAGGUCAGAGAGAGUGAGAGAAUAAGAGAGGGAGGUCAGAGAGAAGUGAGAGAAUUAGAGAGGGAGGUCAGAGAGAAGCGAGAGAAUGAGAGAAGGAGGUCAGACAGAAGAGAGAGAGGGAGGUCAGAGAGAAGUGAGAGAAUAAGAGAGGGAGGUCAGAGAGAAGUGAGAGAAUGAGAGAGGGAGGUCAGACAGAAGUGAGUGACUGAGAGAGGGAGGUCAAACAGAAGUGAGAGAGGGAGGUCAGACAGAAGUGAGAGAGGGAGGUCAGAGAGAAGUGGGAGAAUAAGAGACAGAGGUCAGACAGAAGUGAGAGAAUGAGAGAGGGAGGUCAGAGAGAAGUGAGAGAAUAAGAGAGGGAGGUCAGAGAGAAGUGAGAGAAUAAGAGAGGGAUGUCAGAGAGACGUGAGAGAAUGAGAGAGGGAGGUCAAAGAGAAGUGAGAGAAUAAGAGAGGGAGGUCAGAGAGAAGUGAGAGAAUGAGAGAGGGAGGUCAGAGAG